CAGUCGCCGCGGGAAUACGUAGGUGGCAGGCGUUGUCCGGAAUUAUUGGGCGUAAAGCGCGCGUAGGUGGUUUAAUAAGUCUGAUGUGAAAGCCCACGGCUCAACCGUGGAGGGUCAUUGGAAACUGUUAAACUCGAGUGCAGGAGAGAAAAGUGGAAUUCCUAGUGUAGCGGUGAAAUGCGUAGAGAUUAGGAGGAACACCAGUGGCGAAGGCGGCUUUUUGGCCUGUAACUGACACUGAGGCGCGAAAGCGUGGGGAGCAAACAGGAUUAGAUACCCCAGUAGUCCCUGUCUCUUAUAA
rnacentral:rRNA from 1 species